rnacentral:rRNA from 1 species
AUUGAACGCUGGCGGCAUGCUUUACACAUGCAAGUCGAACGGUAACAGGCCGCAAGGUGCUGACGAGUGGCGAACGGGUGAGUAAUGCAUCGGAACGUGCCCAGUCGUGGGGGAUAACGCAGCGAAAGCUGUGCUAAUACCGCAUACGAUCUAUGGAUGAAAGCGGGGGACCGUAAGGCCUCGCGCGAUUGGAGCGGCCGAUGUCAGAUUAGGUAGUUGGUGGGGUAAAGGCCCACCAAGCCAACGAUCUGUAGCUGGUCUGAGAGGACGACCAGCCACACUGGGACUGAGACACGGCCCAGACUCCUACGGGAGGCAGCAGUGGGGAAUUUUGGACAAUGGGCGCAAGCCUGAUCCAGCAAUGCCGCGUGCAGGAAGAAGGCCUUCGGGUUGUAAACUGCUUUUGUACGGAACGAAAAGGUCUGGGUUAAUACCCUGGGCCGAUGACGGUACCGUAAGAAUAAGCACCGGCUAACUACGUGCCAGCAGCCGCAGUAAAAC